CUGCUGCCUUCCGUAGGAGUCUGGUCCGUGUCUCAGUACCAGUGUGGGGGACCUUCCUCUCAGAACCCCUAGACAUCGUCGCCUUGGUGGGCCGUUACCCCGCCAACUAGCUAAUGCGCCGCAUGCCCAUCCUCCGCCGGAAUCGCUUCCUUUUAACACCCGUGGGAUGCCCCACAGAUGUACCACGCGGUAUUAGUCCGGAUUUCUCCGGGUUAUCCCCCUGCGGAGGGCAGGUUGCAUACGUGUUACUCACCCGUGCGCCGGUCGCCGG
rnacentral:rRNA from 1 species